GCAUUCAUAUUUCUGUUGCUGGUGAGAAUACCUUGUACUUCAUUGAUUUUGAUGUUAUUUUGGAUUCUGGAUUUUAUUGAU
rnacentral:ribozyme from 1 species